CGGGGCCGGGCGAGGCGGGAGGGGCGGCUCCCGGCUCCCGGAGACCCGGAGUCCGCGGUGCGGCGGUCCUGUCUCCUGCUGGCUUGGGGAGACGGGGGACUCCGCGGAGGCCCCCUCCCCGGUCCCUGGGGAGUUCCGGGGGGUGCGGUCUCGUCCCCUCUCCCGGGUUCCCUGCGCAGCCCCCCAAACGCCUCUCCUCCAACCCCCUCCGUGCUCUAACGACCGCUUCCCGCCUGGGCUCGGCCGCUCCCUGGCUGUACUGGGAAUGGACACCUUUGUUCAGAGGAAAGGAGAGGCAAAGCGCGGGGUGCGGAGGAGUGUAGCUCUUAUCUUUCUCCGGGGAAGCUGCAGACACCUAGAUGUCCAGCAAGUCCAUGAGAAACUGCAGAGCAAAACAGAGAUCCAAAUUACAGUCAGCUUCCUACGGCACGUGUGCUGCAGCCGACUGCUUGCUACCACUGAAAGCCCUAAAAGGUUCACCACUGCUGUCCUAGAGUGUUGGGAUUAGAG
rnacentral:lncRNA from 1 species